UCCCGGCUAGCUCAGUCGGUAGAGCGUCAGACUCUUAAAAGGGUCUCUUCGGUUUCGAAGAGUUAUCUGAAUGUCGUGGGUUCGAGCCCCACGUUGGGAG
rnacentral:tRNA from 1 species